rnacentral:rRNA from 1 species
UAGGGAAUCUUCCACAAUGGGCGAAAGCCUGAUGGAGCAACGCCGCGUGUGUGAUGAAGGGUUUCGGCUCGUAAAACACUGUUGUAAGAGAAGAAUGACAUUGGAGAGUAACUGUUCAAUGUGUGACGGUAUCUUACCAGAAAGGAACGGCUAAAUACGUGCCAA